rnacentral:rRNA from 1 species
UACAGAGGUCUCAAGCGUUUGUUCGGGAUUUCAUUGGGCGUAAAGGGUGCGUAGGCGGCGCGGUAAGUCGGGUGUGAAAUCUCGGAGCUUAACUCCGAAACUGCAUUCGGAUACUGCCGUGCUUGAGGACUGGAGAGGAGACUGGAAUUUACGGUGUAGCGGUGAAAUGCGUAGAUAUCGUAAGGAAGCCGUGGCGAAGGCGGGUCUCUGGACAGUUCCGUGACGUGAGGCACGAAGGUCAGGGGAGCAAACGGG